UUACUGUCGUUCUAAUUGAAGUGUUGCUCAAAUAUUGAUUCAAUACAUUACCUCGGGCUGACCAAUUCAUUUCAUCAAGUUCCUCGAGACAUUCAUACACUUCCUAGUAUAAUUGUAAACUUCCUGUUGAAUAGUUUGAAUGCACCAGUCACCUUUGUUGUUUGUGCAACUAACCAAUCAUAAAUAGAAAGGAAGUGACCAGAAAUGAUCAAAUACUUGGAAUUGGCUCUUUCACGGGAAGUGUAUGAAUAUCUCGAGGAACUUGAUGAAAUGAAUUGGUCAGCCCGAGGUAAUGUAUUGAAUCAAUAUUUGAGCAACACUUCAAUUGGAACACUUCAAUUGGAAUUUAUGUCAUUUUUCAUAAGUGGGCAAAAAACAGCAAAAAAGUAAGGCUAUAGCCUUAACUCUUCGUCCAUUUUUACCGACUUAUGGCAUUUUUCAUAAGUGGGC